GGGGAUAUAGCUCAGUGGUAGAGUAUGUGUUUAGCAUGCACGAAAUCCUGGGUUCAAUCUCCAGUACCUGCA
rnacentral:tRNA from 1 species